rfam:Haemonchus contortus, ISE/inbred ISE, WGS project CAVP01000000 data, contig: Hcontortus_32485
GGCCCAAACCUGAAGUAAGGUAGAUUAGUAAGGUCAGCUGAUCCCACUAUUCCACUGUAUAUCAAAAUUGGGCUC